GAUGAACGCUGGCGGCGUGCCUAACACAUGCAAGUCGAGCGAAGGGACGAGAAGUUUGCUCUUCUGCUGAUAGCGGCGUACGGGUGAGUAAAACGUGGAUAACAAACCUAUAAGACUGGGAUAACUACGGGAAACCGUAGCUAGUACAGGAUAAUAAUUUGAACCUCAUGGUUCAAAAGUGAAAGACGGUCUUGCUGUCACUUCUACAUGGAUCCGUGCUGCAUUAGCUGGUUGGUAAGGUAACGGCUUACCAAGGCAACGAUGGAAAGCCGACAUGAGAGGAUGGACGGCCACACUGGAACUGAGGCACGGUCCAGACACCUAAGGGGGGAAACAGUAGGGAAUCUUACGCGAUGGGGGAAAGGCUGACGGAGCAAAGCCGAGUGAGUGAUGAAGGUCCUCGGAUCGGAGAGCUAUGUUAUUAGGGAAGAACAUAUGUGUAAGUAAAUGUGCACAACUUGACGGUACCUUAUCAGAAAGCCACGGCUAACUACGUG
rnacentral:rRNA from 1 species